rnacentral:rRNA from 1 species
UGCCGCGUGAGUGAUGAAGGCCUUCGGGUUGUAAAGCUCUUUUGGCGGGGACGAUGAUGACGGUACCCGCAGAAUAAGCCCCGGCUAACUUCGUGCCAGCAGCCGCGGUAAGACGAAGGGGGCUAGCGUUGUUCGGAAUUACUGGGCGUAAAGCGAGUGUAGGUGGUUGUUCAAGUUGGAUGUGAAAGCCUUGAGCUCAACUCAAGAAAUGCAUUCAGGACUGAGCGACUAGAGGACCGGAGAGGAUAGUGGAAUUCCCAGUGUAAUGGUGAAAUACGUAUAGAUUGGGAAGAACACCAGUGGCGAAGGCGGCUAUCUGGACGGUUUCUGACACUAAAACUCGAAAGCGUGGGGAGCAAACAGGAUUAGAUACCCUGGUAGUCCACGCCGUAAACAAUGGGUGCUAGACGUUGGCGAGCUUGCUCGUCAGUGUCGCAGCUAACGC